CCUACGGGAGGCAGCAGUGAGGAAUAUUGGUCAAUGGACGCAAGUCUAAACCAGCCAUGCCGCGUGCAUGAAGACGGCUCUAUGAGUUGUCAACUGCUUUUGUACGAGGGUAAACCUCAAUACGUGUAUUCAGCUGAAAGUACUUUACGAAUAAUGAUCGGCUAACUCCGUUCCAGCAGCCCCGGUAAUACGGGGGAUCCAAGCGUUAUCCGGAUUUAUUGGGUUUAACGGGGGCGUAGGCGGAUUUUUAAGUCAGCGGUAAAAUGUCCGGGCUAAACCCGGGCCGGCCAUUGAAACUGGUGAUCGUGAGUGGGCGAGAAGGAUGCGGAAUGCGGGGUGUAGCGGUGAAAUGCAUAGAUAUGACGCAGAAUUCCGAUGGCGAAGGCAGCAUACCGGCGCCCGACUGACGCUGAGGUACGAAAGCGUGGGGAUCGAACAGGAUUAGAUACCCGAGUAGUC
rnacentral:rRNA from 1 species